rnacentral:lncRNA from 1 species
AACGGUUCUUGUUGACUGGGCGACUAACGACAUUCUCGGUCAACCCCAUGCUUGGAGCAAAAAAGCGCAAGAAUAAAACGAAUAAGUAUCCUUUUAUAUGUUUUUACACAAAGAACUAUAUAGAUGAGACAAAACAGUUGAAUCCAAACUAUAUGUUCCUAUUUUAUUUAUGUUUCUUAACAAAGGCAAUAUACAUAAUAUUUAUUAUAUUACCAGUAGUUUUAGGAAAUAAAAAU